GAACGACUCUCGGCAACGGAUAUCUCGGCUCUCGCAUCGAUGAAGAACGUAGCGAAAUGCGAUACUUGGUGUGAAUUGCAGAAUCCCGUGAACCAUCGAGUCUUUGAACGCAAGUUGCGCCCGAUGCCUUCUGGCCGAGGGCACGUCUGCCUG
rnacentral:rRNA from 1 species